rnacentral:misc_RNA from 1 species
GAUGAAGAACGCAGCGAAAUGCGAUAAGUAAUGUGAAUUGCAGAAUUCAGUGAAUCAUCGAAUCUUUGAACGCACAUUGCGCCCCUUGGUAUUCCGGGGGGCAUGCCUGUUCGAGCGUCAUUAUAACCCCUCAAGCUCAGCUUGGUGUUGGGGCCUGCCAACUGGCAGCCCUUAAAAUCAGUGGCGGCGCCAUCUGGCUCUAAGCGUAGUAAUUUCUCUCGCUAUAGGGUCCCGGUGGAUGCUGGCCAGCAACCCCCAAUUUUCUAUGGUUGACCUCGGAUCAGGUAGGGAUACCCGCUGAACUUAAGCAUAUCAAUAAGCGGAGGA